UACAGAGGUCGCGAGCGUUAAUCGGAUUUACUGGGCGUAAAGCGUGUGUAGGUGGUUGUGCAAGUCGGUUGUGAAAUCCCUGGGCUCAACCUGGGAACUGCUUCCGAGACUGUGCGACUAGAGAUCGGUAGAGGGCGGUGGAAUUUCCGGUGUAGCGGUGAAAUGCGUAGAUAUCGGAAGGAACGCCCGUGGCGAAAGCGAGGUCCUGGACGUCUACUGACGCUGAGACGCGAAAGCUAGGGGAGCAAACGGG
rnacentral:rRNA from 1 species